ACCGAAGCCUGUAACCGCCUCCGGGCGUGACGGGUGGCUGGUAUCCUCCUUCUGAGGGGUGUAUGUUGCAGCUUGGGCCGGCCCUUAGGGGUCGCGAACCCCCAAGACUGCGGCGGACCAUCCCUUGGGCAACUCAGUGGGGGCAAUUGGAUGGCCCGUAGGCAUCUUCGGCGGCUUCGGCCCUGGAGGUGGCUCGGGCCGGGUGCUGGGCUUCGGUUCACGUCCCGACCUUUUAACUAGCUCUGAUACCUCUUCAUUGAGGGCUGCCGGGGAGGUCUUUCGCUCCUCGAGGCGGAAGGCCUACCCGGGGGAAGAUAGUUACCUGGUUGAUUCUGCCAGUAGUCAUAUGCUUGUCUCAA
rnacentral:misc_RNA from 1 species